rnacentral:lncRNA from 1 species
AGUUACAUAACUUUUAUUCCAUUCUUAAUGAGUCCGGGCCAAGCCCUUGACUUGGCUCCAUCUGUCUCUUCAAUCCUACAUCAGCUCCUUCUACCAUAAUAGAGAUAAAUAUUGUCUUUUUCCCUUUAACAAAUAUUUCAAUUGUGCAUCAUGCAAAGGCAAAAUGUCUCAUGCAGUAUCUGAGGUAUGUCCAUGGGGCUCUGGGAACACAAGUGAAGGGAACGGAACUCAUCCUAAGAAUUCCAGAAGGUUUCCAUGAGGAGGUCACAGAAGGCUGUGAAUGCCAAGUUAACUAGCUUGAACACUGUCUUUAGGAAAAUAGAAUCCACUGCCCAGGGUGGUGCCUUCCAUACCUUUUCCUUUCAGAAAUCUCCUGCUAGCACCUCAUGCAAUACGGGUUGGCGGAAGACAUACUAGAGGCAGGAAAAAUAUUAGCCACUGCAAUCUAAGUGAGAGACUAGGACAAUGCUGGCAGGCAGGGAGAAGAGGCAAAGAAGGUCAGCCUGGCUGUUCAGCUUCGGACCGCAUACCUGUAGAUUGGCUGUGAUGGCUUUGCUUCAAGCUGCAGGCCUGUGGAUCAACCUCCGCUCUGUGUGCCACUUUUAUUUUAGAACCAGUGGGCUACACAAGGUGUGUUCUUCCUGUGGCAAUGGCAAAAGCCCAAGUGGACAAUCUCCAUUGCACAGACACAGCUUAAGCCUUUUCUCACAUCACACUUGCUAAUCUUCCAUUGGACAAAUCAAGUCACAUGGCUAAGCCCAACCAACAGCAAUGGGGUAGAGAAGUAUACCUUUCCACAGUGAAAAGGAGCAUAGUGAAUGUUUUCUUAACACUCAUCGAACCAUCAUAGGUAUGCCAACUUGAGGAAGUUUUAUUAGACAUUUAAGUCAAGGAGACUUGGAUGUAUAGAUGAGUUUGCAUUUCAAGACAAGGGUCUUGGCUAGAGAAAUAAUUGUGAAGUUAGUAGCAUAUAGAGACACAUAAAGCCAUAACCCAGGAUUAGAUUGCCAAGAGUGGGUGUGAAAAUAAAGAACAGAAGACGUCCGCUUAUUGAGCA